CAGUAGCCGCGGGAAUACGGAGGGGGCUAGCGUUGUUCGGAAUUACUGGGCGUAAAGCGCACGUAGGCGGCUUUGUAAGUCAGAGGUGAAAGCCUGGAGCUCAACUCCAGAACUGCCUUUGAGACUGCAUCGCUUGAAUCCAGGAGAGGUGAGUGGAAUUCCGAGUGUAGAGGUGAAAUUCGUAGAUAUUCGGAAGAACACCAGUGGCGAAGGCGGCUCACUGGACUGGUAUUGACGCUGAGGUGCGAAAGCGUGGGGAGCAAACAGGAUUAGAUACCCCUGUAGUCCCUGUCUCUUAUAC
rnacentral:rRNA from 1 species